GUCAGAGUUCAGCAGCAGCUCCCUGAAUCUGAGUGGAGCCCGCCUGGUCUCUGACUAUAUUCAACUUCUUGAAGUGUACAAAGGAGCUGACUGGGGCAGGAUCACAGCUAUGGAACAUGGGCAAGGGAAUGGUACAGGCUCAAUGCCAGCAGCCCCUGGUAGACAGCCUGAGCAUGAGGAACCUUGUGCCAAGGCAGCAGAUGGAUGGAUCAUCAUAAAAGCUGGGGCAUCUCAGGUGUGCUGAUUCAGUGAGUAGUUUGGACAGCUUUAUGGACUGCUCCUUCUCCAGCUCUGUGAUACUCUUCCAUGAAACUAUGCCACCUCGUCCACACUUACGUCUCUCUUCUACCACCUCUGAAUGUCUCUCUGCCAUUUUUAUCUGCACUGAUAUUGUUGGCUACAUUUAUGCUCUACUAAUUACUCCACUUGGAAAAAUUUAAUUGUAAGCCUUUCCUUGAGUAUCUUGGCUCACAUGCUUUUCACUUGAGUCCUCACAAAAUUACAGGGCUCCUUUCUUCUCAGUCACGUGCUCCAGCUGCUUUUUACUCUCACAUCUCAGUGGUUUGUGGUCCUUCCCCCUCCAGUUCUUCCCUCUGUUCACUGGGGAUGCUUUCUCUUUGUAUUUGUGAGAUAUAACAACACAGCUCCAGCAAGCCAUGUGUGAGAGAAAUUCAUUGCAAACUGGUGAUAGUCCCCGUGUU